rnacentral:rRNA from 1 species
UACGAAGGGGGCUAGCGUUGUUCGAAAUUACUGGGCGUAAAGCGCACGUAGGCGGAUCCUUAAGUCAGGGGUGAAAUCCCGAGGCUCAACCUCGGAACUGCCUUUGAUACUGGGGAUAUCGAGUCCGGGAGAGGCGAGUGGAACUGCGAGUGUAGAGGUGAAAUUCGUAGAUAUUCGCAAGAACACCAGUGGCGAAGGCGGCUCACUGGCCCGGUACUGACGCUGAGGUGCGAAAGCGUGGGGAUCAAACAGG